rfam:Octopus bimaculoides Scaffold16914_contig_47, whole genome shotgun sequence.
AUCGCUUCUCGGCCUUUUUGCUAAGAUCAAAGUGUAGCAUCUGUUCUUAUCAGCUUAAUAUCUGAUAUGGUCCCUAUUUGGGGGCUAUCGAUAUUAAACUGCUUUUUAGAACAAGGCGAAGAGUUAGGGGCUUGCUCCGCCUUUGCCAUGGGUUGUCCUGGUAUUGCAGUAUUUCCAGGAUGCAGUCCAUUUCUC